rnacentral:lncRNA from 1 species
CAAAAGUUACCAAAAUACCCCAGGAGCAGAGGAAAGCUGGGCUUUGGGCACUGCUUUUUGCUUUCAGCCAUGUGUGGCUGUGCAAGUCACCCAGGAGUGAGGCCACUAAAUCCUCAUGGGGGUCUAAGCCUCUUCUGCCUGUUUGGAGCCCUCUGCCCUGCUUACCAAGGUGGUGUCAGAGGGCUGCCUUGGCACAGCCUGUGGUACUCCAACAGGGAUUAAUCCCACUGAAUGUGGACAUGGCAACGCCUACACCUGAGCUGUCUAGACAUCCCUUCUAACAAGCAAAAAGCAAGAGGUGUGGCUAGGGGCUGAGUCAUUUUAACCUGACAGCCCAAACAAGCUUGCCUAAUCUGUCCUAAAAAGAUGCUUGUUCUUUUCCAGCAGCUGCACCACGAGCCCAGAGUGCUCAGGUUGGCUGGAGAUCCUGCACUGUAAGGCAAGCUGAAUCCCUCUCCCUGGUUUUGUGUUGGCUGUGGCCAUGUUAAGCAUCAACAGAUGAGAAAGCUGAUUUUUUUAUGUAUUGGUCUCUGUGUCUUCCAGGUCUUCUGCUGUUUCUGGGGUUGAGAAAGGAACAUCCAGCUAUCAAGAAGUCAGACCCUACUGACAGCUACCAUCAGCUGCACACAAAGUCCCCAAAUAUCUUGGUGUCUCCUUUGCCCAAGCAUGAGAUCAUUACCUGUUGUGUGAGGGUAAGUUGGGUGCCUUAGUGAAGAAAAGCCCACAGCACCAGACUUCAGUAAAGAGGUGAGAUUCUAUGUGACUUUUAAGUGUGUGGCUGGUAGUCUGCUAGCUGUUCUCCAGUUCUGGGCUGUUUCCAGAUCCUGGUGAUAGGUACAGGAUUCAGCAGGAGCUCUGGCAGCCAGUCCAUCAGAGCAGCAGUGUAUAGAUCAAGAGAUGGAUGCAAGGAGUCAUCAAGGGUGAAGAGCUGGCUUUAGGAGUUUGCACCCAUCUGAAACCUGUCCAUUGUUUGAGAUAUUAAGCCAUUUUCUGAGCUUCUCAUCAUUAUGUUGUGCUCUUUCUUUCCAUCGAAUUUGUAUAAAGAAGAAGCCUUUGGGGUAGAACUUUUCUGCCUUUGACACUCCCAACUAUUACUGCAAGUUUAUAUUUGUUGUUGUUGAGUAACCAGUAAUAAAUAAUGUUUUGGUCAUGACUCUUAAAAUGGG